rnacentral:lncRNA from 1 species
GGUUUGGAUAGGCAGUGCAGUUAUAUGUGGUUAGUAUAAAAACAUAGUGGCGAUGAGAUUAAAUAUUGUAGUUGUAACAGGCCUAUUUUGCCCGGCCCAAGCCCAAAGUAGACAACCAAAAAUUACCAGUCCAAAGUCCAAAAUUCAAAGCCCAAUUACAAUAUCAAACUCAAACCACAACCCAAAAUCUCUAACCCAAUUCAUAUUGGCCCAAUAGGCCCAAAAGACUAAACCAACUCAGAAACCCUAGGGUUUCUGAACCUUUGUAGCGCCGCACCCCUCACGUGCUAAGUCAGCACGCUCGUCCCCCGAAGAUCACCAUUCUUGGCAUCUUGCACCAAAAUAGUAACCUCUACCUCGUUGACUUCUUCAUGACCUACAAAUACAACAAAGAAAAGAAAGUAGCAAAACAGAGAAAGCAAAUAGGAACAAUAGAAGCAGAAGCCUAAACAAUAAAAAUCAAAUCAAAUCAAUAUUACGGCUAUAAAAAGCCCCAAGAUCAGAUUGUAUUUUUUUACGGAUUCUUGAAUAGAAAAAAGAAAACAGUCAAAAGCAAACAUUUCAAAGGUGCCUCUUUUAUUUUAAUUUUUUUCAUUUUACUCGAAAUAAAAUCAUAAAUGAUAAAAUCUCACCGUUGGUCCAUUCUCCAUCGUGGUUGAGAACCUCUAGUGACCCAAACAUCACAAAACCCAUUCGGGUUCCAACGAGGGUUGGAGGAGUGGCGAAGACGGAGGUUUUCUUCCCUUGCAGUUCACCCUUUCUUUUCGUUUUUGUUGUUUUUUUUUUUGUUUUUUUUUAAAUCUAUCCUAGAUCUAUUUAAAAGAAAAAAGAAAAAAGGAGGGGGAUUCGAAAUGCCAUGGCAGAGCCAUAGCGGAGCCAUGUCCUAGACUCGCUGGAGCCACGCCGGACCCCUUGGCCGGAUUCUAGAAUUUGAGGGAGAGGGUUGAGAGCCCCUUUUGUUUUUUUGUUUGAAAAGUAAAAAAAUGAAGUUUUUUUUAAAAAAGAAAUAAUUUAAAUAGC